UACGUAGGGUGCGAGCGUUGUCCGGAAUUAUUGGGCGUAAAGAGCUUGUAGGCGGUUUGUCGCGUCUGCUGUGAAAUUUCGGGGCUCAACCCCGGACUUGCAGUGGGUACGGGCAGACUAGAGUGUGGUAGGGGAGACUGGAAUUCCUGGUGUAGCGGUGGAAUGCGCAGAUAUCAGGAGGAACACCGAUGGCGAAGGCAGGUCUCUGGGCCAUUACUGACACUGAAAAGCGAAAGCAUGGGGAGCGAACAGG
rnacentral:rRNA from 1 species